GAUGAACGCUGGCGGCGUGCCUAAUACAUGCAAGUCGAGCGAACAGACGAGGAGCUUGCUCCUCUGACGUUAGCGGCGGACGGGUGAGUAAAACGUGGAUAACCUACCUAUAAGACUGGGAUAACUUCGGGAAACCGGAGCUAAUACCGGAUAAUAUAUUGAACCGCAUGGUUCAAUAGUGAAAGACGGUUUUGCUGGCACUUAUAGAUGGAUCCGCGCCGCAUUAGCUAGUUGGUAAGGUAACGGCUUACCAAGGCAACGAUGCGUAGCCGACCUGAGAGGGUGAUCGGCCACACUGGAACUGAGACACGGUCCAGACUCCUACGGGAGGCAGCAGUAGGGAAUCUUCCGCAAUGGGCGAAAGCCUGACGGAGCAACGCCGCGUGAGUGAUGAAGGUCUUCGGAUCGUAAAACUCUGUUAUUAGGGAAGAACAAAUGUGUAAGUAACUAUGCACGUCUUGACGGUACCUAAUCAGAAAGCCACGGCUAACUACGUG
rnacentral:rRNA from 1 species